AACGAACGCUGGCGGCGUGGAUAAGACAUGCAAGUCGAACGCUAAUUAGAGUGUAGCAAUACAUUUUAGUUGGAGUGGCGCAAGGGUGCGUAACACGUGGGUAAUUUGCCGUGAAGUUCGGGAUAACUCGCUGAAAGGCGAGCUAAUACCGGAUGUGACUUUUGGGUAGGCAUCUCCUGGAAUUCAAAGUUGGGGACCGGUAAGGCCUGACGCUUCUCGAUAAGCCCGCGGCCUAUCAGCUAGUUGGUGAGGUAACGGCUCACCAAGGCUAAGACGGGUAGCUGGUCUGAGAGGACGGACCAGUCACACUGGAACUGAGACACGGUCCAGACACCUACGGGUGGCAGCAGUCGAGAAUUUUUCUCAAUGGGCGAAAGCCUGAAGGAGCGACGCCGCGUGGGGGAUGAAUGGCUU
rnacentral:rRNA from 1 species